rnacentral:rRNA from 1 species
GUGAGGAAUUUUCCGCAAUGGGCGAAAGCCUGACGGAGCAAUGCCGCGUGAAGGAUGAAGGCCUAUGGGUUGUAAACUUCUUUUCUCAGAAAAGAAUUAUGACGGUAUCUGAGGAAUAAGCAUCGGCUAACUCUGUGCCAGCAGCCGCGGUAAGACAGAGGAUGCAAGCGUUAUCCGGAAUGAUUGGGCGUAAAGCGUCUGUAGGUUGUUUAAAAAGUAUUCUGCCAAAGAUUAGGGCUUAACCCUAGAUAGGCAGAAUAAACUUUUAAGGUAGAGUUGGGUAGAGGCAGAGGGAAUUCCCGGUGGAGGGGUGAAAUGCGUAGAUAGCGGGAGGAACACCAAAGGCGAAGGCACUCUGCUGGGCCAAUACUAACACUGAGAGACGAAAGCGAGGGGAGCAAAUGGGAUUAGAAACCCCGGUAGUCC